rnacentral:rRNA from 1 species
CCGGUGCACAAGCGGUGGAGCAUGUGGUUUAGUUCGAAGCAACGCGCAGAACCUUACCAGCCUUUGACAUCCUAGGACGACUUCUGGAGACAGAUUUCCUUCCCUUCGGGGACCUAGUGACAGGUGCUGCAUGGCUGUCGUCAGCUCGUGUCGUGAGAUGUUGGGUUAAGUCCCGCAACGAGCGCAACCCUCGUCCUUAGUUGCCAUCAUUAAGUUGGGCACUUUAAGGAAACUGCCGGUGAUAAGCCGGAGGAAGGUGGGGAUGACGUCAAGUCCUCAUGGCCCUUACAGGCUGGGCUACACACGUGCUACAAUGGCAUCUACAGUGGGCAGCUAUUCCGUAAGGAUGCGCUAAUCUCCAAAAGAAUGUCUCAGUUCGGAUUGUCCUCUGCAACUCGAGGGCAUGAAGGCGGAAUCGCUAGUAAUCGCGGAUCAGCAUGCCGCGGUGAAUACGUUCCCAGGCCUU